GGGAUAGCCCAGGGAAACCUGGAUUAAUACCGGAUGGAGACGGGACCCGCGAAGGCGGGACCCGGAAAGGCGCUGCGGCGCCGCCGGGGGAUGAGUCUGCGUCCCAUUAGCUAGACGGCGGGGUAACGGCCCACCGUGGCGACGAUGGGUAGCCGGCCUGAGAGGGUGACGGCCACAUUGGAACUGAGACACGGUCCAGACUCCUACGGGAGGCAGCAGCUAAGAAUCUUCCGCAAUGGGCGAAAGCCUGACGGAGCGACGCCCGCGUGAACGAAGAAGGCCGUGAGGUUGUAAAGUUCUUUUCGGGAGGGGGAACAACCGUGGCAGGGAAUGGCCGCGGGAUGACGUGAAUCCCGGAAUAAGCCCCGGCUAACUACGUGCCAGCAGCCGC
rnacentral:rRNA from 1 species